rnacentral:rRNA from 1 species
AUUACCUACGGGGGGCAGCAGUGGGGAAUAUUGCACAAUGGGGGGAACCCUGAUGCAGCGACGCCGCGUGGGUGAGGAAGUACUUCGGUAUGUAAAGCCCUAUCAGCAGGGAAGAAAAUGACGGUACCUGACUAAGAAGCCCCGGCUAACUACGUGCCAGCAGCCGCGGUAAUACGUAGGGGGCAAGCGUUAUCCGGAUUUACUGGGUGUAAAAGGAGCGUAGACGGCAUGCCAAGUCUGAUGUGAAAGGCCGGGGCUCAACCCCGGGACUGCAUUGGAAACUGGCAGGCUGGAGUGCCGGAGGG